rnacentral:rRNA from 1 species
AUUGAACGCUGGCGGCAUGCCUUACACAUGCAAGUCGAACGGUAACAGGUCUUCGGAUGCUGACGAGUGGCGAACGGGUGAGUAAUACAUCCGAACGUGCCUAGUAGUGGGGGAUAACUACUCGAAAGAGUGGCUAAUACCGCAUGCGAUCUACGGAUGAAAGCAGGGGAUCGCAAGGCCUUGUGCUACUAGAGCGGCCGGUGGCAGAUUAGGUGGUUGGUGGGAUAAAGCUUACCAAGCCGACGAUCUAUAGCUGGUCUGAGAGCACGAUCAGCCACACUGGGACUGAGACACGGCCCAGAAUCCUACGGGAGGCAGCAGUGGGGGAUUUUGGACAAUGGGCGCAAGCCUGAUCCAGCAAUGCCGCGUGCAGGAUGAAGGCCUUCGGGUUGUAAACUGCUUUUGUACGGAACGAAAAGCCCUGGGUUAAUACCCUGGGGUCAUGACGGUACCGUAAGAAUAAGCACCGGCUAACUACGUGCCAGCCGCCGCGGUAAAAC